rnacentral:rRNA from 1 species
UACGUAGGUGGCAAGCGUUAUCCGGAUUUACUGGGCGUAAAGGGAGCGUAGGCGGAUAUUUAAGUGGGAUGUGAAAUACCCGGGCUUAACCUGGGGGCUGCAUUCCAAACUGGAUGUCUAGAGUACAGGAGGGGAAAGCAGAAUUCCUAGUGUAGCGGUGAAAUGCGUAGAGAUUAGGAAGAAUACCAGUGGCGAAGGCGGCUUUCUGGACUGUAACUGACACUGAGGCUCGAAAGCGUGGGGAGCAAACAGG